rnacentral:rRNA from 1 species
GAUGAACGCUGGCGGCGUGCCUAAUACAUGCAAGUCGAGCGAACAGACGAGGAGCUUGCUCCUUCGACGUUAGCGGCGGACGGGUGAGUAACACGUAGGUAACCUACCUAUAAGACUGGGAUAACUUCGGGAAACCGGAGCUAAUACCGGAUAAUAUUUCGAACCGCAUGGUUCGAUAGUGAAAGAUGGCUUUGCUAUCACUUAUAGAUGGACCUGCGCCGUAUUAGCUAGUUGGUAAGGUAACGGCUUACCAAGGCAACGAUACGUAGCCGACCUGAGAGGGGGGACGGACAAGGCGAAAAGAAGACGCGGGGCAGGAACGCAAGGGAGGGCGAAGGAGGGUAAGUUAGGCAAGUGGUGAAAGCAUAAAGGAGCAAAGGCGCGGAAGAAAAGGAGGGAGUCUGAUCGUAAAAAUCUGGAAUAUAGGAAGAAAAAACGGCUAAGCAAACGGUGAGGCAGUGGCGGUAGUAAAUAAGAAAGCCACGGCUGACUUAGU